UGGUACUCGAUUGAUCAGCCA
rnacentral:siRNA from 1 species